GUAGGCAGAUGGCUGACCACUAGGUGGGCCUCAGUGUAAUGUCCAGGGUAAUUGGCUGCUGGGGUUUUUCUGGCGAGGAAGCUUCAGACUUCAGCUUGGUACACAAAAUCCUGGCUUAUUCUUUCCUAUGCCCUGCUCUCUGCCUCCUCGUCACAACGAGAUCUGACAGUUGAUCCCAACAGGCAAUUGAAAGCAGAAAGUUACCUUUAUCUUAGAAUGCUUUUCUGGAAAUAGCGACAGGCAAAGUAAUUAAGGAACGGAUUUCCUAUCCGCCAUUCUCUUCUGCAUGUACAAUUACCCACAGAUAUAAAAUUGCCUGCUUUGAUAAUUAUACCCUCCAAAUGAGGGGCAAGUGGCUAAUUAUGCCCACAUGUGGCCGAUCGCACUCUCCAUUAGCCAAUUAUGUGCACGAUUAUUUGUGCACAUAAAUAAUUGUACUCAUGGAAAAUAGCGGCCCUCCUUUCAAAGGCUCCUGCUUUGAGUGGCUGAUGGAGUGAUUGUCACACUGCAAAUGGACUUGUUGGGAGUGAGAGGGUAGCAGAUACCAGGAAACGCACAAGUGACCAGAGCUUGCAGGUGUUUGCGAAGCAAAUGGCAGGAGUCAAAGAGCGCGGGAAGGACCGUGGAUGGAAGGGCAAGGCUGUGGGUUAAGAAGGUGCUUCUGAGGUUGGCUGAGCGGCUCAUGUGUGGUGACCUGGGGGGAACAAGUUACCAAAGCCAGAUGCGCUCAGCUCCGGUGGUUCACAGCAGUGGGGACCAAGAUGGAUUUGCCCGCAAAAAUCGACCUGCGACUAGAGGCUCUGCGUUUGCCAAAAAGAAUUCUGCGGGGUGUCGGUGCUUAAGGGCAGUCUCAGCGGCCAGCCGGGGGUGGCUCUGUCUGCAGCCCUGCUCUAGCCACCUUUUUCCUCCACGGCCUCCAGAGGAGAACAUCGGAGGCGUGGUGAUCUGAAAAGAGCCACUCAGGCUAGAGGGAGGGACUGAGCACC
rnacentral:lncRNA from 1 species